rnacentral:tRNA from 1 species
AUAAAUAUAGUUUAAUUUUAAAACAUUAUAUUUUCAUUAUAAAAAUAAUAUGUAACUAUUUAUUUAUC